UUUAAACCUCACCAGCUGAUUUCAUUUAUUAAACCUGCCUGUAUCUGCUUCCAGCCAAGUACUGUCAGUUGCUCUUGGUUGGACAGGCAGGUAUGAAAGGCAGACAGAGGCAUAAAUGAAAUACAUUUUUAACUGGGAAAAAAAAAACCAUGGGGAAAAAAGGGACUUGACAUAUGAAGCAAUCUGGGAUCUGACAGCCUGGGCUUUCAUCAAUUGAACCAAAGUGAUGGCUAUGGGUAGCAAACCAUUUCCUGCUUUAGAUUCAAGUGAUAAGACCUGCCUGUGAGUCAGUAUUGUUCAGAUGAGGCAUUUAAGAAUCACUGGGUCGAAGAUGAUGUUCAUUACCUACCGGGGAAAAACCUUAUUGAUCUGUCCGCAGCCUUUAUGAAGCAGAAUGGGACUUAAAUCACCUGACCAGCUACAUUGCGCUCAGCCCCAAGCCAGAUGAUUACUCUGUUUGUCCGUCCAUGUUUAUCUUUCACUGGUUCUUCCUCUUUUCCUCCACUCCCUCUGGCUUUGUGCCCAUAUCUCUGGCUCUCUGUGCCUCUUUGUUUAAUUGUUUUGUUAUAUUUAGUGUCUCAAUUUUAGACACUAAAAUUUAGAGCUGUAGCAAUUAGUGGAUUAAUCGACUACUUGAUCGACAGAAGAUUUUGAUUAUCACAUAAUCAUUUAAGCUAUUUUUGAAGCAAAAACGGCAAAAAAUUGCUGGUUCCAGCUUCAAAAAUGUGAAUAUUUUCUGGUUUUCAGGCAAUUGAUAAUUGAAGUUGAUAAUGAACUAAUUAUCAGACUGACUCUAAUCUGGACAUCCAGUGAUAACCAGAUUUAGUUUAUAAAUGAUUGCGGACCUGUUUUUUUAUUUAUUUUUUAUAGCUGCAGUACUUUCAAUACUAUUGAAUGUGUAAUUAAUGGAGAUUGUAUUGUUUUAAACAUGUGCUAUCAAAAAAGUACCAAUAUUUUUGACAACCUUACUACUGAUCAUGACUGACUGAUGUUUCUAUUUUCGGUUGCUCAGGUCCACCCAGGUCCACCCAGGUCCCUGGCCAUGGAGAGCAGGUCCACUGUCACUUGUUUUGUCACUCAAUGUAGAACGUAGCGCAUCCACUCUAAAUCCAUUUAAUAGCUACACCACACUUUUAUUUGCUUAGAUCUUAAGAAUAUUUCCAUGUGACACCCAAACUAAUGACUUUUUUUUUUUUUAUUAUACUGCGUUCUCCUUCUAACUAUGUUUGGUAACUCAGUCUAUACCAAAGUUCAUCUUGUUGCCUUGGCACCGCACACCACAAUGUGUUACACAAGGCAUUAAUGUCAUUGUGCUGUGACACAGUCUAGGAUUAUCUCCUGAUAACCUUGUUCUUACAUGAAACGUCAAAGGAUUUGUCAAAUACAGAGUUAAAGUUUCCCUGUUAAAUAAAGUGUUGAGUGUAUGUGUAUAUGUGCGCACACACCUUCUGGUAAAAAGAGACAGAGGCAAAGGUGGCAGACGGAAAGCGAACUGAUAAGAUGGGGGUUGGAGGUGAGCACCGAGACACUGUAUUACUCAAACAACAUUCGCACAACAGUUUGUUGUUGGCAGCAUGUCAAGUGUUGUAUUGAAGUUCGUCAUUUCAGAGUUUGUCGGGGGCGAGACAAAAGUUUGUAGAACUUGGCAAGCAGUCAACCUCCAUAUCACUAGCUGUUGUCCUUAGGUCUCUGUCUCUUAACCCACUAAUAUUGCUUCUCCUAUAAGUGUUGCAUUGUUACAUGUAGGCUAUGUAUGCUAUUUAUGUAUUAGUUAGCAAGUUAAAGGGCCAAAAUGUUUAUAUCCCUAACAGGCAGGCAUGAUAAUGUUAGUUUUAUGUGUAUGGUUCUUGUUUGUUAGUACAUAAAUGCUUUGAUCCUCUGUCACUGCUUUCCUUGCGGUCAGAACAACUCAGCAACUCUAAGUGAGUUGCUAGGGAAAAGGAAGGGGCCAGAUGUAAGGCAUUUCUUUAUGAAACAGCCUAAAAGACAUGGUGAACAGAAUUGUAUGGGAGAGUCUGGUAAUGUAAUUCAUCUAGGGGAAUCAGCAUGUAGUCACAGGGCACAGCAAGGAGGAAAGGAAUGGCAGGAACAGUGUAGCAGCGACAGAGGACAAUCACCGUGGUAUAUAGACAGGACACAGUGUGCAGGAAAGGGACAGCUUGGUGUUGACUGAG